GUUGCAUUUAGGCUGAAGUAUCAGAUCCAACUUCAACAUCACAAAACUCACUGAGGAGAACCAGGUUGAUCCUCUUGGUCCUCCUCGUCAUUGGUUGUCAAGUGUUCUGUCUGUGAGGUGCCCACACUUGAAAAAGACCAGACUUUGAAUUUCACUCAAUUUUUUGACCAGUUUCUUAGGUAGCCAUUUUGCUGGAUGGAUAGUGAGGUUCCGCACCACAUCUGGCCUUGACAUCCGGGAUUGGGGGCAGAACUCAAGAAUCUGGUCAACCAGGUGGACCUGAACACAGUGGAUGGGAAAGAGAUGGUCACAAUGAAGAAGCUGGAGUUUG